UACGAACGCUGGCGGCAGGCUUAACACAUGCAAGUCGAGCGCCCCGCAAGGGGAGCGGCAGACGGGUGAGUAACGCGUGGGAAUCUACCCAUCUCUACGGAAUAACGCAUGGAAACGUGUGCUAAUACCGUAUACGUCCUUCGGGAGAAAGAUUUAUCGGAGAUGGAUGAGCCCGCGUUGGAUUAGCUAGUUGGUGGGGUAAAGGCCUACCAAGGCGACGAUCCAUAGCUGGUCUGAGAGGAUGAUCAGCCACACUGGGACUGAGACACGGCCCAGACUCCUACGGGAGGCAGCAGUGGGGAAUAUUGGACAAUGGGCGCAAGCCUAAUCCAGCCAUGCCGCGUGAGUGAUGAAGGCCCUAGGGUUGUAAAGCUCAUUCACCGGUGAAGAUAAUGACGGUAACCGGAGAAGAAGCCCCGGCUAACUUCGUGCCAGCCGCCGCAGUAAAAC
rnacentral:rRNA from 1 species